UGGGGAAUCUUGGACAAUGGGCGCAAGCCUGAUCCAGCCAUGCCGCGUGAGUGAAGAAGGCCUUAGGGUUGUAAAGCUCUUUCGGCGGGGAAGAUGAUGACGGUACCCGCAGAAGAAGCCCCGGCUAACUCCGUGCCAGCAGCCGCGGUAAUACGGAGGGGGCUUGCGUUGUUCGGAAUUACUGGGCGUAAAGGGCGCGUAGGCGGACGAUCAAGUCAGGGGUGAAAGGCCUGGGCUCAACCUGGGAACGGCCUUUGAAACUGAUUGUCUAGAGUCCGGGAGAGGAUGGCGGAAUACCCAGUGUAGAGGUGAAAUUCGUAGAUAUUGGGUGGAACACCGGUGGCGAAGGCGGCCAUCUGGACCGGCACUGACGCUGAGGCGCGAAAGCGUGGGGAGCAAACAGGAUUAGAUACCCCGGUAGUCC
rnacentral:rRNA from 1 species